rnacentral:rRNA from 1 species
UACAGAGGGUGCGAGCGUUAAUCGGAAUUACUGGGCGUAAAGCGUGCGUAGACGGCUAUCUAAGUCGGGUGUGAAAGCCCCGGGCUCAACCCGGGAACUGCGUCCGAUACUGGAAGGCUUGAAUCCGGGAGAGGGAUGCGGAAUUCCAGGUGUAGCGGUGAAAUGCGUAGAUAUCUGGAGGAACACCGGUGGCGAAGGCGGCAUCCUGGACCGGCAUUGACGCUGAGGUGCGAAAGCCAGGGGAGCAAACGGG